rnacentral:lncRNA from 1 species
AAGAGGGUAUGGGACAAUAUUGGAUAAUCCAUUGGGCUCUGGAGUCAUCAAAAGGUUAAGAAUCCCUACUCUAGUCAAAAUUGCUCUAGGUAACAAACAACACAGCAUGUCAAUCUGUAUUAAUGGAAACUUUAUAAAAAGUUUCCAUUUGGCAACUGGCUUCUUCUUUAGGCUCUCUAAAAAAAAGCAAUAUUUAGGUUUUUUUAUAACAUUUAAUGCUACUUAUAUGAGUAGAAAUUAUUUUGUCAUCUAUGUGUUAACAUAUUUUAAUCUGACUCCAAUUGAAUUGAACCUGAGCUUCAACAACAUUGUGGCGUUGGAGUUGUGGAGUCUGAGUUGAAGCAAUUUUGUAUAGAUUCAGUAAAAAUGUACCAAUUCUGAUCUAGAUACAGAAAUUUCUUUUGUUUUCCUUUUACAAAGUCAUUAAUUUUCUUUGAAAUGUUAAUUUUUUCCGUUAUAAAGAAAAACUUGCUGCAAUAGAGUUAAAUUUAUUUUCAGCACUACUAAGCAGACCAAGGCUACAAAUCAUCAAAAACACUUUAUUCAGCAGAGGAGCGC